rnacentral:rRNA from 1 species
UAUGAGAGUUUGAUCCUGGCUCAGGACGAACGCUGGCGGCGUGCCUAAUACAUGCAAGUCGAACGCUUCUUUCCUCCCGAGUGCUUGCACUCAAUUGGAAAGAGGAGUGGCGGACGGGUGAGUAACACGUGGGUAACCUACCCAUCAGAGGGGGAUAACACUUGGAAACAGGUGCUAAUACCGCAUAACAGUUUAUGCCGCAUGGCAUAAGAGUGAAAGGCGCUUUCGGGUGUCGCUGAUGGAUGGACCCGCGGUGCAUUAGCUAGUUGGUGAGGUAACGGCUCACCAAGGCCACGAUGCAUAGCCGACCUGAGAGGGUGAUCGGCCACACUGGGACUGAGACACGGCCCAGACUCCUACGGGAGGCAGCAGUAGGGAAUCUUCGGCAAUGGACGAAAGUCUGACCGAGCAACGCCGCGUGAGUGAAGAAGGUUUUCGGAUCGUAAAACUCUGUUGUUAGAGAAGAACAAGGACGUUAGUAACUGAACGUCCCCUGACGGUAUCUAACCAGAAAGCCACGGCUAACUACGGGCCAGCAGCCGCGGUAAUACGUAGUUUUUUUUUUCAAGCAGAAGACGKYRKRCGUAAAGCGAGCGCAGGCGGUUUCUUAAGUCUGAUGUGAAAGCCCCCGGCUCAACCGGGGAGGGUCAUUGGAAACUGGGAGACUUGAGUGCAGAAGAGGAGAGUGGAAUUCCAUGUGUAGCGGUGAAAUGCGUAGAUAUAUGGAGGAACACCAGUGGCGAAGGCGGCUCUCUGGUCUGUAACUGACGCUGAGGCUCGAAAGCGUGGGGAGCAAACAGGAUUAGAUACCCUGGUAGUCCACGCCGUAAACGAUGAGUGCUAAGUGUUGGAGGGUUUCCGCCCUUCAGUGCUGCAGCAAACGCAUUAAGCACUCCGCCUGGGGAGUACGACCGCAAGGUUGAAACUCAAAGGAAUUGACGGGGGCCCGCACAAGCGGUGGAGCAUGUGGUUUCAUUCGAAGCAACGCGAAGAACCUUACCAGGUCUUGACAUCCUUUGACCACUCUAGAGAUAGAGCUUUCCCUUCGGGGACAAAGUGACAGGUGGUGCAUGGUUGUCGUCAGCUCGUGUCGUGAGAUGUUGGGUUAAGUCCCGCAACGAGCGCAACCCUUAUUGUUAGUUGCCAUCAUUUAGUUGGGCACUCUAGCGAGACUGCCGGUGACAAACCGGAGGAAGGUGGGGAUGACGUCAAAUCAUCAUGCCCCUUAUGACCUGGGCUACACACGUGCUACAAUGGGAAGUACAACGAGUCGCUAGACCGCGAGGUCAUGCAAAUCUCUUAAAGCUUCUCUCAGUUCGGAUUGCAGGCUGCAACUCGCCUGCAUGAAGCCGGAAUCGCUAGUAAUCGCGGAUCAGCACGCCGCGGUGAAUACGUUCCCGGGCCUUGUACACACCGCCCGUCACACCACGAGAGUUUGUAACACCCGAAGUCGGUGAGGUAACCUUUUUGGAGCCAGCCGCCUAAGGUGGGAUAGAUGAUUGGGGUGAAGUCGUAACAAGGUAGCCGUAUCGGAAGGUGCGGCUGGAUCACCUCCUUUCUAAGGAA